rnacentral:lncRNA from 1 species
AAAGCAAUUUUAUUUAGAGAACAGGUUUUCCUUCGAGGGCUCCCCUCAACUCUAUGAUAAACUUGUCUCCUCCAGGGGCCAGGGGGUCUGGUUUUAUAGUCCCUUCAAGUGAACGUGAGCCAUUGGAUCAAACCGACAUUGAUUGGAUGGUUAUCCUUGAUCCUUUAGGUUGGUGGAACGUCGUGUGUGAAAAGAGUCCCGAACCAAGUCUAGAGGGGGGCAGGCGCCCAGGUCAACUGGGCGGGCGCCCAGUGCCUGGCCCCGUUCGGCCUCCGCUUCCUUCCCGUGGCUUCUGGAGUCUUCUAGAUGGUAGAAAAUUGCGCGGUGCGUUGAUAUCUCUAUGUAAUCCCAACAUGUGGGCCUUUCUUCCUUAUUUCCUGAUAACCCCCUGCAGAAACAGAUAAACAACAAAACUCGUGGAAUUCUGUCAGAUCAAACCCUAAUUCUAGGUGUUGUUUGCAUAUUGGUCCUUUCUCUUGUUUAUUUGAUAAUUAAAAUUGAUACUUAAGAACCGUCAACAAAUACCCCCAUACUUAGGCUUUUACUCGUCCUAGGGAAAAGGAUGGUUAAGAACAAUAUCUGGGGUAAAACAUUUUUAAAACAUUCUCUUCAUAACUGCAGGGUGUUAAAAUCCACUGUGUACUGUAGUCACGGAAGUAUAUGGUUAAGAGUAGAGAUCUUUUCUUCUCAAUCCUGUCACUUGGAGUUUUUGUAUAUUUUUGAAAGAAAGUUAGCAUACCUUUUAUCCUCAUAGGUUUUCUCAGAUCACUCAUUAUCUUUUAUAUAUCUCACUGAGGCUAUUUUAAUUUGCAAAAAUUCUCAAGCAUACUUACUUUACAUUUAUUGCUUGGUCAAAACGGGAUCCGAGGAGGGGAGUGUCAUACUCUUAGAUCAAAGACUUUGGAAAUUAAAAUCCUUGUCAACUCUUACUGGCAUAUUGCUUAUUAUAGGGACCAUGGUCUAUCAUUUUCUUUUUGUUCUCUCUUUUUUUUUAAGUGGAUACCAAGGUAUCCCUAAUUCUACUGCCGGACACUUAUCCUUUUUUUCUACGAGGUUGUCGAGCACUUGCUCCUUUUUAUUUCCUCGAAAUAUCUUUAUUUUUUUGCAUAGCCCAUGCCUCUAAUGCAAUAAUACUUCGAAAGAGUGAAUCUUUGUGAAUAAAUGUCUUGAUCUUAGGAGCAUGAUAAAUCUCUCAACAAGGGUCUAACUCAUUUUGAACAAACUCAAUACAGAGUAGAUAGCCUUUAUAAUCAUAAUUAAUAUUUUCAGUUUUAUCAGGCAUAUAAAACACUGAGGAUGGUAGAUAGAAUUUGAAAUAAAUUCUCCAAGCAACAAUGAUAUCAGGAAUAAGAAACUUAUACUCUACCAUCUCAUAUUCCACAAUGACUUAAGUAACACAGGAUUUUUAAAAUGAUUUUUUAAUAAUUGCAAGUUUCAAGAAAUAUCAUAGAGUGAGAUUAAUCAUGAUUAGAAACAUUUUAAUCUUUAUCAUGUCGGAAACAAUAUUCUGCAUAAUCCAAGAUAUGUGUAAAGUAAAGUGUGCAGAGUGUGUACCUGAAUUGUGGAGUGGUGUAGUCGAAGUGUGUUUGUCAUGUCGAGUGAUCUCCCCCAUACUUGUUUUCUGCUUUCUUGCACAAGGAUAAAGUAGAAACACACAAGACAUAAUAAUAAUAAUAAUAAUAAUAAUAAUAAUAAUAAUAAUAAUAAUAAUAAUAAUAAUAAUAAUAAUAAUAAUAAUAAUAAUAAUAAUAAUAAUAAUAAUAAUAAUAAUAAUAAUAAUAAUAAUAAUAAUAAUAAUAAUACUCUUUAUUAAUCUUGAGGCAUUUAUUACAAAAGACUAGUAGCAAACUGACGAUAAUAGUAACAAACUGAUGAUAAUAGUAAACCUAAACCGAAUUUAAAGAUAGAUAACUAAGAUGCAUUGCCUCAAGGUAAAGUGUAAAGUAAAGUGUGCAGAGUGUGUACCUGAAUUGUGGAGUGGUGUAGUCGAAGUGUGUUUGUCAUGUCGAGUGAUCUCCCCCAUACUUGUUUUCUGCUUUCUUGCACAAGGAUAAAGUAGAAACACACAAGACAUAAUAAUAAUAAUAAUAAUAAUAAUAAUAAUAAUAAUAAUAAUAAUAAUAAUAAUAAUAAUAAUAAUAAUAAUAAUAAUAAUAAUAAUAAUAAUAAUAAUAAUAAUACUCUUUAUUAAUCUUGAGGCAUUUAUUACAAAAGACUAGUAGCAAACUGACGAUAAUAGUAACAAACUGAUGAUAAUAGUAAACCUAAACCGAAUUUAAAGAUAGAUAACUAAGAUGCAUUGCCUCAAGGUAAAGUGUAAAGUAAAGUGUGCAGAGUGUGUACCUGAAUUGUGGAGUGGUGUAGUCGAAGUGUGUUCGGCAUGU